rnacentral:misc_RNA from 1 species
GUUUAAUUGAAUUUUUACUAAAAAUAUUGGAUUCAGGUAGUAUGUGUAUGGUAAUAAUCGGAUUUUCAAUGGGUACGAUUAGUGAUAUUUUUACACAGAUUUGGGUUUGGGUAUCCCAAUUUUUCAGGUACUCUAUGUGUUGCCAUCCUUAUAAAUAUCACUGAACUACAUAGUUUUAGGCUUUGCUUUUAAGUGUUGUAAUCCUAAACGUAAUUACCUCUACCUUAAAAUCUCUCUUAUUCCCCUAAUCCCCUCAGACCUGUUUCUCAUAUUUUGUUCUAGCCGCCUGCGGCCCCCUAGGCUUUCUCAGUCUUUCAGUCAUUCUUCCAGUCUCGGCCUUCUGUUUCUUUCCUGCAUCCCUUCACUGCUGCCUGCUGUGUUUUCUGGAAGAAGUUUCCUUCCAUCUGAUUAGCUUUCAGCUAUUAUAGCUGAUCCAUAUGAUUAUCAAUCUAAUUAGCUUUCAGCUAUUAGAGGUAACCCAUAUGAUUAUGAGUCUCAUUAGCUGAUGCAUCCCACAUUGGUUUUGCAAGGAGGUCUUGGGUGUUCUAUAUGUAGGUUUGCAAACCUCCCCUUGUG